rfam:Aspergillus kawachii IFO 4308 mitochondrial DNA, complete sequence.
ACAACCAUACGUUAAUUGGUAAACUAGUCGUCUUCCAAACGAUAAUUGUGAGUUCGAGCCUCACUGGUUGUA